ensembl:lncRNA
GUGCAGAGCCAGAACAGAUUCAGCCAAAGCAAAUUGCACCAGGAAAAGGUCACAGUCCAGCUUUCCAGUUUUACUUCUCCAAGGACUUCACAAACAAAGAAAUGGCGUGAGGUAAUCAGGCAUGGCAGCGUUCACUCUUCAAGACGAGCAAUAAGAGCAGCUGGCCACAGCCAGCCAUCCUGGCACAGCACAAACACAGUUAUUUGCUCCAGCAACAACAGUGCAGACAUUCCUGGGGAAACCAGAAUAUCACAUAACAAACAGCAGAGCACACCUCAGAGACUAAUUGAGCAUAGCAAGCCCUUAGGUCAUUUUAACACAUUUAGAAUUCUGCAUUGCAUCAGUGGGGAUUACAAAUUACUGGGAUUUAGAUGUUUGUCUGAAGAAGUACAAUACAGUAGGUAUAUUUUCCAGUUUGAAGAGGAAGAUCUGGCAGGAAUAGGCCUCCCACUGGACAACAUUUAUUAUCUGGGACCAAAUCCCAAUACCAGAAGUCUGAGAUGAUCUUGGCACAAGCAGAAAACAAAGGUAUAUUUUGCCUGGUGUAAGUGCACAGGAGCCCAGAACAUUAUUUGGGUGGAACCUCAGAGCUCCCAGGUAGAAACUAGAUCUCACAUCUACUUAAAUCAAUGGAAAUGCUUCCAGAGAUUCAUCUAGGUGAGAUUUGGACUGAAUUCUUCGCUAACACAAGUGAGGAAGAGAAGCAGUAAUAGGGGGGGAAUUGUUUUCAGGGAGUUUGAUAUUUGUCUGAAGCAAAAAUUUCCAGAGAAAACACCCUGAAAGGAAGAAUUUCUGUCACAGUAAAACAUCACUAUUUACCAUUAUAAUUCUAUUUUGACUUAAUAUGUCAUUAAAUGAACAUUACAAGCACUUUAACACAUCUGUGUGAAUAGGACAUACAUCACAAAAAAUAUACUCCUCUAGCAAGUUAAUCAUUGUUAAAUGAGAAAAAGCUCCAGUUCUUCUCCCUUUUUAAAAUUAAUUACAAAUAAUGCAAGCAUAAUGCUGUAAUGCUAUAAUGUGAAGGAAAGUACAGCAAUAAUAAUGGAGUGACACAAUCCUAGGCUGCAGCAAAUGAGAACAAGGCCCAGUGCAGCAGCCAUGGAUGCAGGAACAAAGGAAGAAUAACUGCUUACCUCUGGAAGGCCUCAGGUAUGCAGGAAUCUCCAGAUGAGAUGCCCUUACCUCCACUGCCAACCCUUAAAUGAGGUCUGGGAAGGAGUGGAGCCAGGAUCCACCCCUUCUGGUCACUCAGCUGCAUCGCUUGCACUUUAGCUCCCCUGGGUUGGCCCUGCCUUCCCACCAGGUGCUCAAUCACUGGUUCAAGCCAUGACUUAGCAUUUUCACUACAGCAACCCUAUAAGGCCAUAAGUACCUGUUCAAAAAAGCAUUUACUUCAAUAACUCUGAACUGUAAAUACAGCGGUUAAAUACAGUUUAGUUAUGUCUGCUUGAGCCUUUGGUGCCCUUUACAAAGAGGUAGUGUCAGCUCCUAGAAAAGCUGCUUUAUACUUCAAAAUUGUAUAAACACUCCAAAAAUUUUCUUCCAUGAGUAAGUUAUGAAUUAAGUAAUGUGGACCCCAGAAGAAAUUUGAAGAGAAGCUGAAUGGUUAUCACAUCAGUGCUGCCCAGAUUAGGGUUCAGUGCAACACAACUGUACCUAUGUAAAUAAUACCUUCUGGGAAGAGGAGGUUGGAAGUUGAGCUCAAGAACGAUGCAGCACAGUGUGUAAAAACUCCUUAUCAAGCAGGAAAACUCCAUAAUAUGUUUGACUAUGACAAAUGUGAAACAUAUUGACAUGAGAUGAAAGUGCUAGCAAUCUGCAAGAAAUAAAUUCCUGCAACAACAUCA